ensembl:lncRNA
CCCGAGACGGUCACCAGUGAAAUGACACCGUUGCUGUGGCAACCGCGCCCCCCCUCCUUCACUCCCCCCUUCCCCCAACUGCUUUGCCAGCCAUAUUCGCUGAAAAAAAGCGUGAGAGAUAGGAAACAGGCAAAACGAUGCAGAAGCGGGUUUUAUCGAGCAUUUAUUGAGCGCGCCAUGAAAGAGAAUUAAACCGCAUUGCUGAGUCCAGUGGACCUGUGUGUGUGUGUGAGAGCAGCACCGCUUCAUUCCGCCACUGCUCCUGUGUAACGCUACACACCAGGCUAUAUACAGCUGCGCUGCGUCGAGCUAACGCCACCUGAAGGAGUAUCUCUCUAACGCUCAGCGACAAAAACACUGUUAAAGCGCGUCAGCAGUUUUAGACCACGACUCAAAACUGCGUUAUUUUGCCUUCUUAAAUCCGCCGAGGAAACAAUGUGGAGCUUUUUUCCCUCGGAAUACCUUCGCAGUGCCAUAACUUCAUGUAAAAAACAGUUAAAGCUCUAGAGCUAAGUUUUAAAAUCGCCUGUCAGGGAUGUGUACAGGCGUCAUUUCAGCCUUCAUCAUUCAGCACGGACAUGGAGGCAGCUACGCUGGCUAGAUAAGAAGGAAACCGUGUUGUAAACAGGUAGAGCCAUCUGUGUGACCAGUAAUGGAUGAAGCUCACAUCACUGCAGAGAAAGCGCCUCUGCUCAGUUCUGCACUCGCAUUGCACUCAUGCAUCAUGCCUGUGGAGCUGCAUAUCUCACUGACUGUUGAAUGUGUCAUCUGUAUGUUAUGUGUCUGGAUAAAAUCUAUGAAAAACGCUUUCUGAACGCUUUCUCUUUAUACACACCUGAAUUGCCAGCGUUAAGUUGUUCCCUACAGUGUACAUUAAAGAAAGGUGAGGCCACAUUGUUAACGCUGUAGGUGUUUAUUCAACACUGGUUAUUUGACUGCGCGCUAAGGGAAAAGUUGUGGAUUUUGCUCUGCACCUUUGUGUCUUAAGGAAAUGUCUAUGUUAGGCCUGUCCAGUGCAAACGAAAAGAGAAAAACAUUUCCUGACCUGAACGUUCUCUGUCUGUCUGUCUGUCUGUCUGUCUGUCUGUCUCUCUCUCUUGCUCUCUCUCUCUCGCACUCUCACACACAUGCUCACACACAGACACACAAACACAGACUCAUGCUGUCCUACACAAUUUGCGCCACUGCCCUCUACUCCCACCAGAUGAAGAGUUAUCUCACAUCAAUGCCAGUCAAGUGUAGACAGCGUGAUUCACUCAACCCUUGCUUCUGCAAUGUCUUACAGUCAAUGUAUUUGAUCUCUUAUGCAACCCAAUCAGACAGAUCCUUAUCCAUAUAUUUCUAUGGAAAUGGCUCCACGAAUGCUUCUGAAAGCAUUUUGUACAAGUGAGCGCAUGGCGUGAAAUAAUUCUGCCAUUUGGCCGAUGAUUUGAAUGGUGAGAUACGGGACACUGAAUGCCAAGCAACCCAUUUGCAAAUGUCCCUGUGACUGCACUGGCAUCCUGCACUGGAACCUAAUGCCACUGCCAAAGUGUCAACAUAGAUGACAUCUGUUGGGGACUAACUAAAGAAAUCUUGCAUAUUAUGCAACUACCAAUAACAUCACAUCCGUGCAAAGCCAAAGAAAAACCAGUGGUGCUGUGCAAAAAAUGGGGAAGAGUGUGUCUUCCAAAAGGACAGACACCUCAGAGGGGAAACAAAGGUCUUCUUGUCCUCUCUGUCAUUCUCUUUCUCCGUCUUUCCCUCCACACAAGUAUGAACUGCUGCAGUGCUAUUCUGAGAGAGAGAGCUAGCUGCCUCAACCCACGCACUGAAUAUCAUAAAGAGAGAGAGAGAGAGAGAGAGAGAGAGAGAGAGCGGGAGAAAGUGAGGGAGAAAUUAAGGGUGGGAGCAAUGGAGAGAAAAAGGAGAGAAUGUCCAAAACAGAUGUGCUGUUUAGUAGAUUGGAAUAAAGAGAACGCCAACAUUUCACACCACUGCAGUGGAAUCUGAUGGUCUGAUCGUCACUCCUUGAUAAACUCGGCAGUCGCAGUGUUCUGGAAACUCUUUGUCAAUGCGCCACGUCUUCAGUGGCACAUCUCUCUCAAAUCGCCCACAGUCUCUUGCUGACGGGUACUGUGCAUAAGAAAGGCUAAUCCAGUUUACAGAGAAGGGUGAACUGUUCCACAUAGCUUCUAAGGUGUCGAAAUGGCCUACGCAUUUUAGCGCCAUUUCUCUAUGAUUUACUCUUCAUGAGAAAAAAACAGGAUUUCAGGAAUAUAAUUGACUAAGUUGUUUUUUGUUUGUUUGUUUGUUUGUUUUUUAAAAAAUUAUUACAUGGAUUACACACAUGACACAUGCCGACUUACAUACCAUAAACUAAAUACUGUAUAUGUUGUACAUUGUGCACCAAAUACUUAGCUGUGAACAGUUUAUGCCUUGAAU